CCCUACGGGGGGCAGCAGUGGGGGAUAUUGCACAAUGGGGGGAACCCUGAUGCAGCGACGCCGCGUGGGUGAAGAAGCGCCUCGGCGCGUAAAGCCCUGUCAGCAGGGAAGAAAAUGACGGUACCUGAAGAAGAAGCCCCGGCUAACUACGUGCCAGCAGCCGCGGUAAUACGUAGGGGGCAAGCGUUAUCCGGAUUUACUGGGUGUAAAGGGGGCGCAGACGGCGAUGCAAGCCAGGAGUGAAAGCCCGGGGCCCAACCCCGGGACUGCUCUUGGAACUGCAUGGCUGGAGUACAGGAGGGGCA
rnacentral:rRNA from 1 species